rnacentral:rRNA from 1 species
UACGGGGGGGGCAAGCGUUGUUCGGAAUUACUGGGCGUAAAGGGUUCGUAGGUGGCUUGCUAAGUCAGACGUGAAAUCCCUCAGCUUAACUGGGGAACUGCGUCUGAGACUGGUGAGCUUGAGUGCAGGAGAGGAACGCGGAAUUCUAGGUGUAGCGGUGAAAUGCGUAGAUAUCUGGAGGAACACCGGUGGCGAAGGCGGCGUUCUGGACUGCUACUGACACUGAGGAACGAAAGCCAGGGGAGCAAACGGG